rnacentral:rRNA from 1 species
UACGUUCCCGGGCCUUGUACACACCGCCCGUCAAGUCACGAAAGUUGGUAACACCCGAAGCCGGUGGCCUAACCCCUUGUGGGAGGGAGCCGUCGAAGGUGGGACUGGCGAUCGGACUAAGUCGUAACAACGGUACC